rnacentral:rRNA from 1 species
ACCAACCUCGGGAGGCAGCAGUGGGGAAUAUUGCACAAUGGGGGAAACCCUGAUGCAGCAACGCCGCGUGAAGGAAGACGGUUUUCGGAUUGUAAACUUCUGUUCUUAGUGAAGAAAAAUGACGGUAGCUAAGGAGCAAGCCACGGCUAACUACGUGCCAGCAGCCGCGGUAAUACGUAGGUGGCAAGCGUUGUCCGGAAUUACUGGGUGUAAAGGGAGCGCAGGCGGGAAGCCAAGUC